AUAUAACAAAAGUACUUUCCCUUAUGGUUUAAAAAGUUGAAUUGCAAAUGACAUGAUUUUACAAACUCUGAACCACCUGUAUAGGCAAGGGCAACUCACUCGGGUCACGCCCCGAUCAGACCAGCCAAUUAAACUAAUUAUAACUACUUUUAAUGAUCAUUCUUAUAGGAGUCCAUGCUAAUCGAGUGUCUUUUUUUUUAAGCUGCUGUUUUAAAAGGAGGCUGAGAGGGGGGGGAAAUCAGAAACAAAAAUGUGUUUUCAAAAGAUCUCCGCCACCGGCAGCCAGGAUGAUGGGCUGGAUCUGACAGGUCAGCCCGCCUUGAAGGGCGAGGAACGCACGUUGGAGUUUAGCACCUACUGACCAAUGAAGAAAGGCCCUCGCCAUCCUUCCUAUAUGUCUCCCCUUUCCCGGAGGCGGUCGAGUGGUCAUUUGCAAGACGCUUCCAGGUGGGUGCGGACGGAUCUAGGGAGGGGAAUUUCGAAAAUUCCAUGAAGUCUGAUACGAAGCACCACCCUCCAGAUAGCUAAUCUGUAAUCUCUCUGUGUAUAUACUCCCUGCUGGACUCUCAGGAUAAUCUCACUCUUCUUCCUUCGUUUUCCCUCCUGUCCCACGUCUCCUUUCUUCCAUUUUUCCACGAACUCCUUUUUCUCUGGAGGUAGAGAUUUCUCCCCCAUCUCCAAGCUUGCCCCUUUCUUUCUCCACAGCCUCAACCCCGCCCCGAGUUGCCCCCCAACCAGUCGCCACAUGGCAUCCCCUGGGUGUUGGGAGUCGGGGUCGGAGAGUUAUUUGUGACGACAGGCGAGGCGGAGGAAACGUUUUUCUUCUUUAAGCCUCAAAUCCGAGGUCGGAAACCAAAGGGAAAGCCAAGGGAAGGGCUAGUGUUUUGACCCUCUGGUUUUUUUUUUUUCUCUCCCUCUCUCCCCCACCCCUUAUUAAUCAGGGGAAACGCUCGAGGAAA
rnacentral:lncRNA from 1 species